rnacentral:rRNA from 1 species
UUGAAAGGGAAACGAUUGAAGUCAGUCGUACCUUCGGGUAAUCAGCCUUUCGGGUGCGAUUCUGUGGAGCGUGAGGAGUUAAACGCCUUCAUGCCUGCAUAUUCGUGCACUUUGGGUGUACUUGCCCGUGUGGUAGGUUAACAUCAAUUUCGGAUGUCAUAAAAUGGCUGGAGGAAUGUAGCUUUGGUCUCGUACUGAAGUGUUAUAGCCUUUGGUAGAUGUGAUGACCGGGAUUGAGGAUUGCAACGAAUACCUUUUGGGCUACCCGCCUGAUCUCUGAAAGUUGCUCUGGUGCCGAAAGCGUGCUUACGGUUAUCAAAGUUGACGUUCAAAAGGUUAGAACGGGUUAAAUUCGUUAAGGAUGUUGACGUA